ACCUUUUGCAAAUCCAAACAUUUGAAAUGUUUUGCAUUCUUUUCAUGAAAUCCUUCCUUCCCAAAAGUUUGGCAAAUGGAACACCACUUCAAAUCUACCUCCUUGUUGCAAAGCACUUUAAAAUUAUCCACAACUAUAAUAUGCUUUUUAAACAGAACAUGAUUCUCUCUCUGAUGACAAGAAAAUUCAGAUGCACAUAUAGGACAAUACAAGUAACCAAACUUUGAGCCAAGCAAAGACACAUAAUCACCCUGCCACAUUUCACAAAUUUUUAGUUAUACAAUAGUGAUAAACUUCAUUAAUUAAAAAAGGCACCAAAUUUCUACAACUUUACCCAUAAAUUUUUAAAUCACUUAAAAACAACACAAAAUCACAACAAAAUGAAACAUCAUACCUAAAACUCCAACUAAUCCAUUAAAAAAAAUCAAAAUAAUAUUAAAAAUACAAUCUAAAAGAAUAAUUCUCACUUCUUAAAACAAAAUGUUACAAACAUAUAAGCAGAAAAAUGAAAAGUUACGCAUUUCAAUAUAAAGUGAUGCAACUCAACACUCAAGUACUAGUAUAUUAUUAAUAAACCUAGGCAUACUAAGCCAAAGCCCAACACCUCACACUCAAAACCAUGAUAAAAGGGCAUCAAGUAGACGGCAACAGCAACGGCAUCCAUCAUCC
rnacentral:lncRNA from 1 species